AAUCAUUUUCCGCACACAUUUAGUUUUCAUGCUAGUGAGAGCCGAGAAUCCACUCUUACAUAGGUACGUGGUUGCAAAGGGCAUCAGUGUCUUAACAGCGAGAUUUGCCAAGGCUGGAUACUCUGAGCGAAAUCUGGCAGUGGCUUCUGAUUUAAAUUCAAUUUUCACAGAACAGCUUGUUGCAAUUUCGAUGAGACUGUCUUGUUCAGAUAUCGGUAAGUGGGACUGGAGGCAGGGCAUGAAAGGGAUAACGAAUCCAGUUGUUUGUGUCAUCCAUUUUGGGAAAGUACUUGCGUAAUUGCACACCCAACUCACUCAGGUGCUUCACUAUAUCACAUUUGGCAUUGUCUGUAACCUUGAGUUCAUUUUCACACAAAAAAUCAUACAAUUAUGGAAAGACCUGUGUGUUGUCCUUGUUAAUGCAGACAAAGAAGAUCACCAACUUCUUAAUCAUAGCCUCAAUUUUGUCCCGCACAUUGAAUAUAGUUGCGGAGAAUCCCUGUAAUCCUAGAUUCAGAUCAUUCAGGCGAGAAAAAAACAUCACCCAGGGCAGUCGUGUGAGAAACUCAUCAUCAUGCCAGCGGUCAGACAGGUGAAAAACAUCACCCAGGGCAGUCGUGUGAGAAACUCAUCAUCAUGCCAGCGGUCAGACAGGUGAAAAACAUCACCCAGGGCAGUCGUGUGAGAAACUCAUCAUCAUGCCAGCGGUCAGACAGGUGAAAAACAUCACCCAGGGCAGUCGUGUGAGAAACUCAUCAUCAUGCCAGCGGUCAGACAGGUGAAAAACAUCACCCAGGGCAGUCGUGUGAGAAACUCAUCAUCAUGCCAGCGGUCAGACAGGUGAAAAACAUCACCCAGGGCAGUCGUGUGAGAAACUCAUCAUCAUGCCAGCGGUCAGACAGGUGAAAAACAUCACCCAGGGCAGUCGUGUGAGAAACUCAUCAUCAUGCCAGCGGUCAGACAGGUGAAAAACAUCACCCAGGGCAGUCGUGUGAGAAACUCAUCAUCAUGCCAGCGGUCAGACAGGUGAAAAACAUCACCCAGGGCAGUCGUGUGAGAAACUCAUCAUCAUGCCAGCGGUCAGACAGGUGAAAAACAUCACCCAGGGCAGUCGUGUGAGAAACUCAUCAUCAUGCCAGCGGUCAGACAGGUGAAAAUGAUGGUCAGUAAGGAAAACUUUAAGCUUGUCUCUCAAUUUAAAAAAAUAAUGUGUCAAUACUUUGCCCCUUGAUAACCAGCACACUUGUAAAAGCGUUACAUGGUUUCUGCUCAUAU